rnacentral:rRNA from 1 species
CAAAUGAAUUGACGGGGGCCCGCACAAGCGGUGGAGCAUGUGGUUUAAUUCGAUGCAACGCGAAGAACCUUACCUGGUCUUGACAUCCACAGAACUUAGCAGAGAUGCUUUGGUGCCUUCGGGAACUGUGAGACAGGUGCUGCAUGGCUGUCGUCAGCUCGUGUUGUGAAAUGUUGGGUUAAGUCCCGCAACGAGCGCAACCCUUAUCCUUUGUUGCCAGCGGUCCGGCCGGGAACUCAAAGGAGACUGCCAGUGAUAAACUGGAGGAAGGUGGGGAUGACGUCAAGUCAUCAUGGCCCUUACGACCAGGGCUACACACGUGCUACAA